AAAUAUUUUAAGAUUUCAAGAGACUUGUAACUAUAUUGGCUUUGAAAAAUCUAUCCAUUUUAUUAAUGCUUUUUUGACUUUCUUUUUAAAAGACUGAAUUAUUAUGGCCUGUUUUCGAGUGGCACUCGUCACCGCGUCCUGCGAGGUGGAAUAACCAACAAAAAAAUGCACAAAAGGCAACGCCACAGGACACUGGCAGCUCUCGAGCUUUAUCAAUUGAAACACACACACCAUGACGACGACCUGAAGGAGUCCUGCCGCAGUUCGCGGCUAAUUGUAAAUUCAGGAUUCUUUUUUCCUUCCUGUCGAGAGCGAGUGCCUUGAAAUUUGACUAACGCGAAUGGCCAAAAGAUAUUUAUUGCGUUCCCAAUUUUUUGAUAAUGACAUAAUAUUUUACGCUUCGACAGAGAGUGGAGGGAGGUGGCCACUUGAGCGUCGCGGGGUUUUUUAUUUAAAUUAUAUUUGUGUGUGUCGUUUGGCUACACAGUUCCAUUAA